rnacentral:rRNA from 1 species
AUUGAACGCUGGCGGAAUGCUUUACACAUGCAAGUCGAACGGUAGAGGGGGCAACCCCUCGAGAGUGGCGAACGGGUGAGUAAUAUAUCGGAACGUGCCCAGUCGUGGGGGAUAACGUAGCGAAAGUUACGCUAAUACCGCAUACGAUCUAAGGAUGAAAGCGGGGGAUCGCAAGAACACGCGCGAUUGGAGCGGCGGAUAUCAGAUUAGGUAGUUGGUGGGGUAAAGGCUCACCAAGCCAACGAUCUGUAGCUGGUCUGAGAGGACGACCAGCCACACUGGAACUGAGACACGGUCCAGACUCCUACGGGAGGCAGCAGUGGGGAAUUUUGGACAAUGGACGCAAGUCUGAUCCAGCCAUUCCGCGUGCAGGAUGAAGGCCCUCGGGUUGUAAACUGCUUUUGUACGGAACGAAAAGGUCUCUCUUAAUACGGGGGGCUCAUGACGGUACCGUAAGAAUAAGCACCGGCUAACUACGUGCCAGCAGCCGCCGUAA